GUACUGUGCAAACGUUAUUCGGAAUCACUGGGCCUAAAGGGUGCGUAGGCGGUGAUUUAAGUAGGGUGUGAAAUCCCUCGGCUCAACCGAGGAACUGCGCUCUAAACUGAAUCACUUGAGUAAGAUAGGGGUGUGCGGAACUUCCGGUGGAGCGGUGAAAUGUGUUGAUAUCGGAAGGAACGCCAGUAGCGAAAGCGGCACACUGGGUCUUAACUGACGCUGAGGCACGAAAGCCAGGGUAGCGAACGGGAUUAGAUACCCCGGGUAGUCCUGGCUGUAAACGAUGAGCACUAGUUGGAAGGCGCUUACGCAUUUUCCAACGUAGCAAACGUAUUAAGUGCUCCGCCUGGGGAGUAUGGUCGCAAGGCUG
rnacentral:rRNA from 1 species